AACGAACGCUGGCGGCAGGCCUAACACAUGCAAGUCGAGCGAGGACUUCGGUCCUAGCGGCGGACGGGUGAGUAACGCGUGGGAACGUGCCCUUUGCUUCGGAAUAGCUCUGGGAAACUGGGAGUAAUACCGGAUGAGCCCUUUGGGGGAAAGAUUUAUCGGCGAAGGAUCGGCCCGCGUUGGAUUAGGUAGUUGGUAGGGUAAUGGCCUACCAAGCCGACGAUGCAUAGCUGGUUUGAGAGGAUGAUCAGCCACACUGGGACUGAGACACGGCCCAGACUCCUACGGGAGGCAGCAGUGGGGAAUCUUAGAAAAUGGGGGGAACCCUGAUCGAGCCAUGCCGCGUGAGCGAUGAAGGCCUUAGGGUUGUAAAGCUCUUUCAGCUGGGAAGAUAAUGACGGUACCAGCAGAAGAAGCCCCGGCUAACUCCGUG
rnacentral:rRNA from 1 species